GGGGUUGUGGCUCAGAGGUAGAGUACUUGCCUAGCAUGCAUGAGGCACAAGGUUCAAUCCUCAGCACCA
rnacentral:tRNA from 1 species